UACGGGGGGGGGCAAGCGUUGUUCGGAAUUACUGGGCGUAAAGGGCUCGUAGGCGGCCAACUAAGUCAGACGUGAAAUCCCUCGGCUUAACCGGGGAACUGCGUCUGAUACUGGAUGGCUUGAGUUUGGGAGAGGGAUGCGGAAUUCCAGGUGUAGCGGUGAAAUGGGCAGAUAUCGGGAGGAACACCAGUGGCGAAGGCGGCCGACUGGGCCGAUCCUGACGCUGAGACCCGAAAGCUAGGGUAGCGAACCGG
rnacentral:rRNA from 1 species